rnacentral:lncRNA from 1 species
GCUCAGCUAAUUUUUGUAUUUUUAGUAGAGAUGGGGUUUCACCAUGUUGGCCAGGCUGGCUCAAACUCCUGACUUCAAGUGAUCUGCCUUCCUCGGCCUCCCAAAGUGCUGGGAUGACAGGCAUGAGUCACUGUACCCGGCUGGGAAAUGAAUUUUUAAAAAAAAAACUUUAUGUAUUUCUACUUCUUCAUUGGAAAGUCAUUCGUAUUUACUUAAGUUUUCAAAUAUCACAGUGCAGAUUAGAACAAAGUAGUUGUUUAUAAUUCUUCCGCAUCCUCCAAGUGUAUGGAGAAGCUCGCAUUCUUCUUGUUUUGUGCUGUCAUUAUUUUAGUUUGUUAUCUUCGUCUACUUUAGUUUUCUCAGAUAAUGUUUAAAUUAUUUGGCAAAUCAUUUCUCAAUUUUCAAUGCAUUAAUUUCCUCCACCUGCUUUUCUGGAGUUUCAUGUGAUACCCACUCUCCCCACACAGGAUGACUUCUCGAGUUGAAUGUUCAUUCCAUUUAUUUUCAUUCUUUCUUGCUUAAUGUUGUAAACAGGCGAGGUUCUAACUUUUCAUCUGUGUACUACAAGCUCUCAAGUUCUUUCAUGGGGAGUUUGUAUCAUGGUCAUUUUCUAGUAUUUAGCAUUUUCAGCUUUUGUUUCCUGUCAACUCAACAUUAAAAGUUUUUUAAAACGUC